GACGAACGCUGGCGGCGUGCCUAAUACAUGCAAGUAGAACGCUGAAGCUUGGUGCUUGCACCGAGCGGAUGAGUUGCGAACGGGUGAGUAACGCGUAGGUAACCUGCCUGGUAGCGGGGGAUAACUAUUGGAAACGAUAGCUAAUACCGCAUAAGAGUAGAUGUUGCAUGACAUUUGCUUAAAAGGUGCAAUUGCAUCACUACCAGAUGGACCUGCGUUGUAUUAGCUAGUUGGUGAGGUAACGGCCCACCAAGGCAACGAUACAUAGCCGACCUGAGAGGGUGAUCGGCCACACUGGGACUGAGACACGGCCCAGACUCCUACGGGAGGCAGCAGUAGGGAAUCUUCGGCAAUGGACGGAAGUCUGACCGAGCAACGCCGCGUGAGUGAAGAAGGUUUUCGGAUCGUAAAGCUCUGUUGUAAGAGAAGAACGAGUGUGAGAGUGGAAAGUUCACACUGUGACGGUAUCUUACCAGAAAGGGACGGCUAACUACGUG
rnacentral:rRNA from 1 species